UUUCAAGUGGGGCAGAGGAGGCUGGGUGGAAGCAUGUUCAAAACGUUGUCUAGCCUGAUUACUCUCAUUUCUCAAGCGUGCCCCCCCCACCCCCAUGUGACGCGGGGAGAAGCUCACAGGACGUACUUCUCUCUUUGUUUAGAUGGUAUCUCUUGGUGGUGUUUGUUGGCAUGAGGGGAACGUUGACAAUGCAGCACGUGCCAAUGGGUCGGCCAUGACACCUCGAGAGAGAGAUCCCUGAAGGAGGACCAUUCUAAUUGAUAGUUCUGUCUCGAACACACACACACUUGCAUAGACACGAACACCUGGUGACUGUGGUCAGAGAGCCAGAUGUUUUAAUGGAAAGGAAGCCUGUACAGGACAGGUAACAGUAGUAAGAGAGGCCAUAGACCCAACAACAGGUGUAUGAGCAGCCUUAGCAUAGUGAAAUACAGUAAAACAGGCCAUAUGGACCGAACAACAGAUCCAGGAUCAGCCCUCAGCACAGAGAUCCCGCCCGGGAAGAACUUCUAUAGCACUGUGGACGAGUGAUGCAACGGCCUCCAUCUGGUCCUAAUGCUGGUAGCAGGGGCCGAGAGUCGCGGAGGAAGGAUAUAUGUCACGGAUCUCUCCGGAACUGUGUCAUUACGCACACCUGGUCCCCAUUCCCACUGAUUGUAUUGUAUAAAUGUGCCCUUUGGUUAACCAUUGGG